rnacentral:siRNA from 1 species
GCGGGAUCCCUCGCGGGUGCACC